GGACGGCCCACCGCGGCCCUGCCCAGCUUCCAGCCACAAGGUCUCUGGCUGAUGAGUAGGCGGUGGUGACACCCUGAUGGCCCAGAGGCCGGAGCCCACUCAGUCACCCGGUCUGUGCACGGGCCUGUGUGUGUCCCUCCCCACAGGAGGGCUCGCAAAUUAAGGGACUCCGGCUGGAGGAGGGCUGAAGGGGAGCCCUGUGCUUCUGUUUGUCGAGACUUUGCCCAUACCAUCGCAGCUCCAGCCCAGCUCUGUGGGAACAGCCUGUAAUAAAAAUAGAAAUUAUUGCUAAUCAGGAAAAUCCUCCCAGCCCAGCCAUGCUCUUCAGCUACAAAACACCUCUGUUUUCUGGUAUUAACCUUCUCUACUGCUACCCUCCAGUGUUUGCAGCCUCUAUUCUGUAAGCAGGGAAACUGAGGUCCAGAGAGGCGAAGCAACGAGCUGAAAGCUACUGUGAGGGGCAGAGAUGAAGCCAAGGUAAGGUCAUUGCCAGAUCUGUUCUAGUGGGAGGUUGCAGAGAAGUCACUGAGGGCUUCCUGGAGGAGGUGGCAAGAAAUCUAAAGGAAGGAGGACUCAGAUCAGGAGAUAAAAAAGGUGAGGACAAUUCUGGCAGAGAGAAACAUGUGAAGCUUGAAGUUGGGGAUAUUUCAGCCACAUUCGUUCGUUCCACAAACGCAUUGACAUCUGCUGUGUGCCAUGUCCUCUGCAGGAGGCUGGGGACACACAGAGGACAAGCCAGAUCGGGCUCCUCCCUAGUGGGGAGCCCACCUACAUAAUCGUCCCAAGGGACCGGCAGCAGUGGGAGCUCCAAGAGGGUGCCUGACUCAGCUUGGGGCAUCAGGGGGAGUCUGGGGAGGGUUCUUAGAAGAGGAGGGAACACAGAGCUAUGACCAGGAAGGUGAAGAGACCACAGUCAGAUAAAGGCAUUCUAGCUAGAGAAACAGGAUGUGCAAAGGCCCUGAGACAAAAGUGUGUCUGGUCUGCUGGACAGAUUGAUCUCAGGGUAGAGAGAUCUUGGGGCUCAGGAGAACGGGUACCAGGUGGUCCAGGGCUUGGGCUGUCUCCUGAGGGCAAUGGGGAACCGCAGAGCAUGCGUGAGGAGUGGUGGGUCUAGAGGGGGCGCUGAACAGAAGGAGCCAAUCCCAACCUGGGCACUUCUAGUGAAGCCUGUCCCCUGAUGCCUGUGGCAGGGCCGUGAGCUCACCUCCUGUUUCCCUUGGCAUUCGGCACCCCUGGGGGCCGCUCCUGGCUGGUGCUGGGGUUCUUGGGAAAACCACGGCUCCAGGAGGGCCUCUGGGCUUGCGUGUGCCUCAUGCAGCUAGGACAAGGGCACAUGGAAGCCAAGCCCCUGCCACAGGCUUGGCAUGGGGCUAGAAGUGUGGACACACAUGGCCUUGUUCAUGGCUGGGCCAUGAGGAGUUGUGAAGAAGAACAUUCUAGGCAGAGGGAAUGGCGAAGGCGGCAGUCCUGAGGAUGUCCCAGUCUGCGGAUCAGACAACAGAGGCCUGGAGCCAGGCACUCUGGUUUCAUGUUCCUGCUUUCUGGAUCCCAUUAGCUCUGAAAUCCCACUUCUAGGCAGCAGCCCCCUCCACCCUUGCACACCUUGGCAGCCUCUCAUUACACACUUACUCACUCUGGGUGAACUUCCAGCCCUUGUACCUGCUGUUCCCCACCAUCCCAAAUACCUUCCUCCUUCCUCCAAGAUCUGGCUCUGAUGCCCCCUCCUUCAGGAAGCCCUCCCUGCUCUUCUUGGGCAGGGCUUAGGGGCUGUGCGACAUUCCCCUAAGAUGCCAGAAUAUUUCUGGCAGAGACAGGAUGACCUCACCCGGGGGACUGGGGAUGUCUGUGUUUUGUUCUGUUCCCCUUUCCCGGGUCCCCCCUGGGCCUGCAGAGAGCCCUGCCCCGAUGAGUGUCACAUGGUUCUUAGUUCUUAUAAUUCAUGUACCAUCGUUACUAUUAAUAAUAGUAACCCCUGCUACCGCUGUGCUUUAUGACAGACUCAGGAGCCGCAUGGCCUGGGUUCAAGUGUCAGCUGGGCAUAGCCUCACUGUGUGACCUAAGGCAAGUUGCUUGACCUCUCUGUGUCUCAAUCGCCUCACCUAGAAAGUGGGAGUGAUCACUGCUGAGAGGACUGGAUGAGCUCAGCGUCUACCUCCAGUGUUAGCCUCAUUAUACAAUAUGGAACUUAUACACGAUGUCGGUUAUACCUCAGGCCGUUUUUACUCACAUUUUCCUCAGAGAGGGAAUGAGACAGCUCAAGGUCACACAGCCAGGAUUAGACCUGGAGAAGGCAGGACCCCUGAGGCCUUCACACCACCCCUCUCUGCCCUUGGCCACAGAUUGCAGGGGAGAAACGCUAACCCAGGCCCCUCAUUAGCUGUGAAGACUGCUGCCUGGGACCUCCUGGCCUGAGCCCUUGGCUGGCGCCCCAGCCAGCCCCCCUUCCCACCACGCUAGACCCAGCGGUUCCAGGAGCCUGGCCAGACUCGGGCAGAGGGGCUGGUGCCUGUGUGAUGAGGCCUCGGAGCCCUCCCUGGCAGAGUUCUGCUGGGCCAGGAGACAUGUGGGCGCCCCCCGCUUGCCCAGCCGCCUCUCCUGUGAAUCCAGAGGGAAAGUAUGUCGGGAAGGCAGCCGCCCUGCCCUGGGCGGGCCCAGCCACAGGCUCAGGGUCUGGGGAAUUCAUUAGAGCAGCGAGGGAGGCCACUUAGCCACUGCUGGAUCUGCGGCUGAGGAGCCUGACCCAGCCUGCCUUGGACGGCCCGGCUGGACCCUGCUCUCCAGAAGGACCAAGCAGUGGGGUGAGGGGCAGUGGGGCAGAAAGGGUGCCAUCCGGGCACUGGAAUCUGGCAGAACCCCCCGACUUGCUCUGUGAGUUCUGGCAAGCCCUGACUCUUUCCCCAUCCUUCAUUUGCUCUGACUGUGUCGUCAUUUGCCUCAGGCUCUCCAAAAGGUAUGAUAAAGAAGAAAAUAACAAUAAAUAUAAUGGCUACAAUUUUAUUGAGCAAGUGCCAAAUGCUCGAAAACUUGCCACAUCACUUUUGUGGGUUUUCCCUUUUUGUCCCCUCUCCUCACGGCGCCACGGGGCAGGAACUGACCAUCAUGGGAGACAGCAGGAGACUGCCAGGAAGUCUUGGUCUCUGGCACCAGGAGCCUGAGUUUCAUAUCCCACCUCUGCUGUGCAGCUUCAGACAAGUUGCUUAACAUCUCUGUGCCUCUUUUCUUUUUUUCUUUUUUAUGGGGUAGGGGAGGGUACCUUCAAAGGUAGAUUUACUUUUAAUAAUAAUGUAGAUUUUUGCUUCUCCAGUUUAGAGAAUGGACUGCAGAGUUGCCUCAGGGGAGAAAGGACUUCACUAGGAACCAGCUGGAAUUUAAUGAUGUGGCAUUCAAUGGGCAUUGACUUCUGAGAAUGGUUUUACAUCACUAUUAUCUUCAGAAUUUUCCAGGGAUAACUGUGGCUGGACAAAUGACCACUUUACUUUUUCCUCCUCUCCUCUCACAUUUAAUGAGAGUUUUGUAGGUAACAGUAAAACAAACCAGUGUCUGUGUUGCAAUAAGAGAGACUGCCUACGGGCUCACUAUAGAAGUUUUCUUCUCUCCCUCAGUCUGUCUGUGUUUCUCUCUGUCUAAUGAAGUGAAACAUGAAAACGUCUAAAGUUGUUUGCAGUUUAUCAGCAGCACUAAAAACCCAAGUGAAACGAGGACGAUGAGAGCCCCAACCUCUGAGGCUCAUCAUAAAGCCCGAAUACAUUAAUUCGUGAAAACUACACUCGGCACUUUUUUUUUAGAGAACUUCAUCCACUGCCCAAGCAGAUGGGACGAUGGUGGUCUGAGCCUCUGCGCCUGGCGGUAGGUGACCUUGGAGGUGGACAAGUGCAUACCAGCUGCGGCAGGAGCCCCGGAGUCAGGGAGACCACUCUGCCAGGGAAUGUUAGUGUUGAGACCUGAACAGACAGGAAGUUCCCGUGAAUCCAGGCAUCCCAGGACCACAGAACAGGACGUACAGAACAGGGGGUCACAGAACCAAGGUCACAGCGCUGCGUCACGGCACUGUGAGUUAAUGGAACCGUGGAACCGCAGCAUGCUCCAGCCGUGGCACUGUGGGAUCCUAGGGCCACGGGACCACAGUGCCAGAAGCCCACAGACUCAGGGGAUGUGGCCACUAUCAACAGGAGCUCAGAACCGUGGGAUGGCAGAAGCCACAGAAUCCUAGGGGGCCUGAGACACAGCACCCAGAAAUCCCACUUGGGAGGUGCCAUAAGAUGGAGUCUCAGAACUGAGCCCAUCAGAAACACCGUCUCAGCUCCACCUUCACCUGUUGGCUGGCCAGCGAGUCUCUCAGAGGCCACGGGAGCUCGGAGGCACUCUCUCUCCAUCCCUGGGGCAGCCACCGGAGAGAAGGACCAUGCUGUCAUCAAGGCCUGGAGCCAGCCAGCCGCCAAACACUCAGCGAGUCCCCUGUUGCCAGGGCCAAGUGAGGCUGUCCGGGUGCCGAGAAACAGUGCCAGCCUCCGGCCAGGCGCGCCGGGACGCCGAGUGCUCAGCAGCAAGUGGAAAAAGAAUCAACGGGUUCCUUCUACAUCCACAUCCUCUUAAAAGCCAACAGAAACAUGACUCGGAGGGGAGGUUGUACCCUGGCUGCAUUGCCUCCGGAUGGCGGCAACGGGAAGCAGCCCCCCAGCACUGCCUCCGCCCACGCCAGGAGUCACAGCCCGGCUCAGGUUGCACCAGACACAUCCGCGUACUAAUGAACUCUCCAGGGACUGUUCACCCAGCAGACCUGACACCUGAUGCUCAGAAUAACCAAUCUGUUUUGGAGAGGGGAGACUGAGGCCCAGAAGUGAAGACUCCUGGCCCAGAUCACGAGGGUGAGAGCUGAGACCCAAACCCAAGCAUGAUGGAUGCUAAGAGUGAGCUUGCCACCACCCAAACGGGCUUGCUCUCGGGCUUCCCCAGCCCCAUCCUGUUUCUAAAUGUGAUCCAGCAUGGAAGGUGGGAGGCUGGGCUUCGGCAAUUCCUUCCCUUUGCCGAACCCAGAUCCUCUUGUUCACGGGGCUGCCAUGGGGACGAAACAUGAUCGUGGUGAGUGCUCACUGGAACCUGGUAUUGCUGUCAUGAAAGGACUU